rnacentral:rRNA from 1 species
UACGUAGGGACCAAGCGUUGUUCGGAUUUACUGGGCGUAAAGGGCGCGUAGGCGGCAAAUUAAGUCAUCUGUGAAAUCUCCGAGCUUAACUCGGAACGGUCAGGUGAUACUGAUCUGCUAGAGUGCGGAAGGGGCAAUCGGAAUUCUUGGUGUAGCGGUGAAAUGCGUAGAUAUCAGGAGGAACACCGGUGGCGAAGGCGGGUCUCUGGGCCGAUACUGACGCUGAGGAGCGAAAGCGUGGGGAGCGAACAGG